rnacentral:lncRNA from 1 species
CCGGAUUGCAAUUGUCUGGCUCCCCCAUGGGCCUUGGAACUCCUUCAAGGCCCAGCCCAGAGGCUAGCUCAUAGUAGGUGCUCAAGAAAUGUUCAUGGAUGGAUGGAUGAAUGAAUGAAUGAAUGAAUGAGUUCUUGUGGGAUGGGCCUAUCUGGGUGCCCUUCUGUGUGAAGGGGAGAUUUUGCCAAUCUGUAGCUCCAUACAUAAAACCAACUCAUAGGUAGGGUCUCCCAGGGAAAUACACUGACACAUAGUAGGUACACCCAACCACACCUAAAAAGAGAAUGGGCUGCCUCCGCAGGCAAUGAGCUCCCCGAGACUGGGGGCAUCCAAGCAGAAGGCACACUUGUCGGGGAAACCAUAGUUGAUUUCAGAAUUACCCAGGUGAUGGCUGAUCUUCUAACGUUUUUAGUCUCUGCUCAACUGAGUCCAAAUCUUCCAAGUCGACCUUAAGGAUGAUGAGGAUGGAGAUGGCGAUGACAGCCAUCACGCAGGAGGGACCUGGACGCAGCAGGACCCGUGGCGGGCCCUCGACAGAAAGAGCACUCACCAGGCCGGCGUCAUACACAACACACGACAGCAAAUGCGUACAAAACUUGAAUCACCAGUUCCUGUUCCUGUGGGCUGGGGGCGGGUGACAGGCCUGCAGCGGGGCCACCACGCGGCUCGGACGAUCCCUUAGCUUUGCUUCUGAGACGCUAAGACGGCCCUUGGGAGAACUACUUCCGCGGAGCUCCUGCAAUGCAAACAAAUGCCCCAAAUAAAAGGGGAAUAAAUUCAGUGGAGAAUUCUGAGGCUGGUGCGUAGAUUUUUGCGGGCAUCCUUUUCCGCAGCGGCUCUUUGUGACGGUCCCGGGCGCGGUCCCCGCCGCGCGUGGCGAUGCUGCCCCCUAGUGGUGAUGGGGAAAGCUGCUGCGGAAGUCGAAGCGUCCAAACCCCCGAAACGCUGGGGAGGCGGCAUCCUGUUAACACCAACCUGGGCGGUGGCUGUUUUUAGCUGGGUCUCUCCUUCUGUGCCACUUUCAUCAUGAAAGCCGACUCUCUAGACCCAAAAAAAGCUGCGACGUGCUAUGCAAAAGCUGUUCGAGGGCCAAUUUUAGCUGCAUUUCUUGGAAUUUGGGCUCCCGGGAGGGAGGAGGGACGG